GGAAACUAAUUGUUCUUAAUUACCCUAAUCAUCUUAAGUUAGGGUAAAUAACCUAACUAUAAGGUUUCCCCAAUUCCUUCGCCCUACUUCUCGCCCAUACAUCGCCGUCCUCUUUCUCGCCAUCUCCACCAAAUCGACGACGAAGCAUUCUGGCAGACCUUGAGCUCCGGCUGGGCGCCACCACACGUGGGCGAGUUGCUGGAGACGGCGUGAGCAGACGCAGAGCUUGCGACGGUCUUUACGGAGGCGCAAUAAUCUUGGGUGAGAGCUUCCGAUGAUUGUGCGAGAAGAAAGGAAAGUACUUACCCUUAUGGUUUGGCAAGAUCUGUAAGACUCGUCACAUUUAUAUUACAGGUGAGGAUGACUUCCAGGAUAUACCGGAAGGCCCACGGACAGAGUAGACGAGGAGGCAGGAUGGAUGCAUGGUACUGUCCGUUGUCCGGGAGUGCAGAGCAUACUGGAUUCCCUGCGAGAGUUAUUUUCAUUUCUUUGUCAUUUGGGUGGGGAAUGUUUGAGGAUUUUAUGUUCAUAUCGAUAAACAUAUAUUGAUACGGUCAUGUCCAUGAGUUAUGAUAAUUUCUUUGUUGGUACUGCAUUACGAUCA